rnacentral:rRNA from 1 species
GACGUAGGGCGCGAGCGUUGUCCGGAUUUAUUGGGCGUAAAGAGCUCGUAGGCGGCUUGUCGCGUCGACCGUGAAAACUUGGGGCUCAACCCCAAGCCUGCGGUCGAUACGGGCAGGCUAGAGUUCGGUAGGGGAGACUGGAAUUCCUGGUGUAGCGGUGAAAUGCGCAGAUAUCAGGAGGAACACCGGUGGCGAAGGCGGGUCUCUGGGCCGAAACUGACGCUGAGGAGCGAAAGCUAGGGGAGCAAACGGG